rnacentral:rRNA from 1 species
UGGAGAGUUUGAUCCUGGCUCAGGACGAACGCUGGCGGCGUGCUUAACACAUGCAAGUCGAACGGAAAGGCCCUUUCGGGGGUGCUCGAGUGGCGAACGGGUGAGUAACACGUGGGUGAUCUGCCCUGCACUCUGGGAUAAGCCUGGGAAACUGGGUCUAAUACCGGAUAGGACCAUGGGAUGCAUGUUCUGUGGUGGAAAGCUUUUGCGGUGUGGGAUGGGCCCGCGGCCUAUCAGCUUGUUGGUGGGGUGAUGGCCUACCAAGGCGACGACGGGUAGCCGGCCUGAGAGGGUGUCCGGCCACACUGGGACUGAGAUACGGCCCAGACUCCUACGGGAGGCAGCAGUGGGGAAUAUUGCACAAUGGGCGCAAGCCUGAUGCAGCGACGCCGCGUGGGGGAUGACGGCCUUCGGGUUGUAAACCUCUUUCAGUAUCGGCGAAGCUUGCGGGUUUUCUCGCAGGUGACGGUAGGUACAGAAGAAGCACCGGCCAACUACGUGCCAGCAGCCGCGGUA